rnacentral:rRNA from 1 species
GUGUUGUUUUUGAGGCACACGGUGGAUGCCUGGGUACAUCAAGCCGAUGAAGGACGUGUCAGGCUGCGUUAAGCCUCGGGGAGUUGCCAAGAAAGCGUUGAUCCGAGGGUGUCCGAAUGGGGAAACCCGGCCGUGGUUGUGUGCGGUCACCCGCUGCUGAAUUAAAUAGGUGGUGUGGAGGGUACGCGGGGAAGUGAAACAUCUUAGUACCCGUAGGAGAAGAAAAUAAUAAUGAUUCUGCUAGUAGCGGCGAGCGAACGUGGAUUGUUGGCUAAACCAUGCGCGUGUGAUACUUGGUAGGGGUUGCGUGUGUGGUGUUGUGGGGUGUGUGUUGUUCGUGGUUCUACCAGGCUGCGGCGUGAUGUGUGGGUGUUAGCGGAAGUGGUUUGGAAUGGCCUGCCGUAGACGGUGAGAGUCCGGUACGUGAAAGCACCUGUUUAUGUUGCGUGGAUGUGCGCCCCGAGUAGCAGCGGGCUCGUGGAAUCUGCUGUGAAUCUGCCGGGACCACCCGGUAAGCCUGAAUACUUGAUGUGACCGAUAGCGGAUUAGUACCGUGAGGGAAUGGUGAAAAGUACCCCGGGAGGGGAGUGAAAGAGUACCUGAAACCGUGUGCUGACAAGCCGUCAGAGCCUCCUUGUGUGGGGUGAUGGCGUGCCUUUUGAAGAAUGAGCCUGCGAGUCAGCGGCAUGUCGCGAGGUUAACCCUUUGGUGGGGUAGUCGUAGCGAAAGCGAAUACUAACGAGUGUGUUUAGUGGCGUGUCCUGGACCCGAAGCGGGGUGAUCUACCCAUGGCCAGUGUGAAGCAGCUGUAAGAGGUUGUGGAGGCGCGAACCCACUUAGGUUGAAAACUGAGGGGAUGAGUUGUGGGUAGGGGUGAAAGGCCAAUCAAACUCCGUGAUAGCUGGUUCUCCCCGAAAUGCAUUUAGGUGCAGCGUUGUGUGUUUCUUCCUGGAGGUAGAGCUACUGGUUGGUUUAGCGGGACUAUCAUCUUAGCGACAUCAGCCAAACUCCGAAUGCCGGUGAAGGUUUAGAGCAUGGCAGUGAGACUGCGGGGGAUAAGCUUCGUAGUCGAGAGGGAAACAGCCCAGAUCGCCGGUUAAGGCCCCUAAGGGUGUGCUAAGUGGAAAAGGAUGUGGGAUCGCGAAGACAGCCAGGAGGUUGGCUUAGAAGCAGCCAUCCUUGAAAGAGUGCGUAAUAGCUCACUGGUCGAGUGGUUCUGCGCCGACAAUGUAGUGGGGCUUAAGUACACCGCCGAAACCGCGGAACCUACCCUUCUUUGUGUGGGGUGGGUUGGUAGGGGAGCGUCGUGCGUUGGUGGAAGCUGCCGGGUGACCGUGUGGUGGACGGCGUGCGAGUGAGAAUGCAGGCAUGAGUAGCGAAUGAUGAGUGGGAAACUCAUCCGCCGGAUGACUAAGGGUUCCUGGGUCAAGCUAAUCUUCCCAGGGUGAGUCGGGGCCUAAGGCGAGGCCGACAGGCGUAGUCGAUGGAUAACGGGUUGAUAUUCCCGUACCCGUGUGUAUGCGACCAAUGGUGAAACGCGGAGACUAACACGCGCAUCAUGCGCAUGCUGCUGUUAUGGCUGCCUGCCUCCUUGUGGGGUGGGUGGUUGGUGGUGUGUGUGGGUGUGUGUGGACCUGAUGUGGUAGUAGCUAAGCGAUGGGGUGACGCAGGAAGGUAGCCACGCCGUGUGGUGGAUGUUCACGGUGUAAGCGUGUGGCCCGCGUGGUUGGUAAAUCCGCCGCGCAUGAUGGGUGAGGCGUGAUGCGUACCCUGCUUUUGUGGGGGAUGGUGGUGAUCCUCGGCUGUCGAGAAAAGCCUCUAGUGAGUGUGCGCACGGCCCGUACCGUAAACCGACACAGGUGGUCAGGUAGAGAAUACUAAGGCGAUCGGGUGAACUGUGGUUAAGGAACUCGGCAAAUUACCCCCGUAACUUCGGGAGAAGGGGGGCCACUGCUGGUGACAGACUGGUUUUGAGCUGGUGGUGGUCGCAGAGAAUAGAGGGAAGCGACUGUUUACUAAAAACACAGGUCCGUGCGAAGACGGUGAAGUCGAUGUAUACGGACUGACGCCUGCCCGGUGCUGGAAGGUUAAGAGGACCUGUUAGAACCCUUUGGGGUUCGACGCGGAGAAUUUAAGCCCCAGUAAACGGCGGUGGUAACUAUAACCAUCCUAAGGUAGCGAAAUUCCUUGUCGGGUAAGUUCCGACCUGCACGAAUGGCGUAACGACUUCCCUGCUGUCUCAACCACAGGCCCGGCGAAAUUGCAGUACGAGUAAAGAUGCUCGUUACGCGCGGCAGGACGAAAAGACCCCGGGACCUUCACUAUAGCUUGGUAUUGGUGUCUGGUUCGGUUUGUGUAGGAUAGGUGGGAGACGUUGAAGCGGCCACGCUAGUGGUUGUGGAGUCGUUGGUGAAAUACCACUCUGAUCGGAUUGGGCAUCUUCAACCUCGGCCCAUGAUCUGGGUUAGGGACAGUGCCUGGUGGGUAGUUUAACUGGGGCGGUUGCCUCCUAAAGAGUAACGGAGGCGCCCAAAGGUUCCCUCAGCCUGGGUGGCAAUCAGGUGGUGAGUGUAAGUGCACAAGGGAGCUUGACUGUGAGACUGACAGGUCGAGCAGGUACGAAAGUAGGGACUAGUGAUCCGGCACCGGCUUGUGGAAGUGGUGUCGCUCAACGGAUAAAAGGUACCCCGGGGAUAACAGGCUGAUCUUCCCCAAGAGUCCAUAUCGACGGGAUGGUUUGGCACCUCGAUGUCGGCUCGUCGCAUCCUGGGGCUGGAGUAGGUCCCAAGGGUUGGGCUGUUCGCCCAUUAAAGCGGCACGCGAGCUGGGUUUAGAACGUCGUGAGACAGUUCGGUCUCUAUCCGCCGCGCGCGUGGAAACUUGAAGAAGGCUGUCCCUAGUACGAGAGGACCGGGACGGACAUACCUCUGGUGGGCCAGUUGUCACGCCCGUGGCAUGGCUGGUUGGCUACGUAUGGGAGGGAUAACCGCUGAAAGCAUCUAAGCGGGAAGCCUGUUUUGAGAUGAGGUUUCUGUUGAGGUUCCCUAGAGAUGAUGGGGUUGAUAGGCCGGAUCUGGACGCAUCGUGAGGUGUGGAGGUGACCGGUACUAAUGAACCGACGACAACACCAA